GACGAACGCUGGCGGCGUGCUUAACACAUGCAAGUCGAACGGAAAGGCCCCUUUGGGGGUACUCGAGUGGCGAACGGGUGAGUAACACGUGAGUAACCUGCCCUUGACUUCGGGAUAACUUCAGGAAACUGGGGCUAAUACCGGAUAGGAAUCCUUGCUGCAUGGUGGGGGUUGGAAAGCUUCGGCGGUUUUGGAUGGACUCGCGGCUUAUCAGCUUGUUGGUGGGGUAGUGGCUUACCAAGGCUUUGACGGGUAGCCGGCCUGAGAGGGCGACCGGCCACAUUGGGACUGGGAUACGGCCCAGACUCCUACGGGAGGCAGCAGUGGGGAAUAUUGCACAAUGGGCGGAAGCCAGAUGCAGCAACGCCGCGGGCGGGAGGACGGCCUUCGGGUUGUAAACCGCUUUCAGCAGGGGCGAAGCUUGUGGUGACGGUACCUGCAGAAGAAGCACCGGCUAACUACGUG
rnacentral:rRNA from 1 species